GAGGACGAUCAGCCACACUGGGACUGAGACACGGCCCAGACUCCUACGGGAGGCAGCAAUAGGGAAUCUUGCGCAAUGGGCGAAAGCCUGACGCAGCAACGCCGCGUGGGGGAUGAAUGCCUUCGGGUUGUAAACCCCUUUCAGCAGGGACGAAAAUGACGGUACCUGCAGAAGAAGCUCCGGCCAACUACGUGCCAGCAGCCGCGGUAAUACGUAGGGAGCGAGCGUCGUUCGGAAUUAUUGGGCGUAAAGAGCUCGUAGGCGGUUCAGUAAGUCGGGUGUGAAAACUCAAGGCUCAACCUUGAGACGCCACUCGAUACUGCUGUGACUUGAGUCCGGUAGAGGAGUGUGGAAUUCCUGGUGUAGCGGUGAAAUGCGCAGAUAUCAGGAGGAACACCAGCGGCGAAGGCGGCACUCUGGGCCGGUACUGACGCUGAGGAGCGAAAGCAUGGGGAGCAAACAGGAUUAGAUACCCUGGUAGUCCAUGCCGUAAACGUUGGGCACUAGGUAUGGGAUCAUAUCAACGGAUUCCGUGCCGUAGCUAACGCAUUAAGUGCCCCGCCUGGGGAGUACGG
rnacentral:rRNA from 1 species